rnacentral:rRNA from 1 species
AGAGCGAACGCUGGCGGCAGGCCUAAUACAUGCAAGUCGAACGGAUCCUUCGGGAUUAGUGGCGGACGGGUGAGUAACACGUGGGAACGUGCCCUUUGGUUCGGAACAACUCAGGGAAACUUGAGCUAAUACCGAAUGUGCCCUUCGGGGGAAAGAUUUAUCGCCAUUGGAGCGGCCCGCGUCUGAUUAGCUAGUUGGUGAGGUAAAGGCUCACCAAGGCUACGAUCAGUAGCUGGUCUGAGAGGAUGAUCAGCCACACUGGGACUGAGACACGGCCCAGACUCCUACGGGAGGCAGCAGUAGGGAAUCUUGCGCAAUGGGCGAAAGCCUGACGCAGCCAUGCCGCGUGAAUGAUGAAGGUCUUAGGAUUGUAAAAUUCUUUCAGCGGGGACAUAAUGACGGUACCCGCAGAAGAAGCCCGGCUAACUUCGUGCCAGCAGCCGC